rnacentral:tRNA from 1 species
GGGGGAUUAGUUUAGUGGUAAAACGAGGCACUCCAAACGCCUUGACAGGGGUUCGAUUCCUCUAUCCCCCGCAA